AGAGUUUGAUCCUGGCUCAGAGCGAACGCUGGCGGCAUGCCUAACACAUGCAAGUCGCACGGGCCGGGCAACCGGUCAGUGGCGGACGGGUGAGUAGCGCGUAGGGAUCUGUCCAUGGCUGGGGGAUAACCACGGGAAACUGUGGCUAAUACCGCAUGAAGCCUGAGGGCCAAAGCCGCGAGGCGGCUGUGGAGGAGCCUGCGUCCGAUUAGCUUGUUGGCGGGGUAACGGCCCACCAAGGCUCCGAUCGGUAGCUGGUCUGAGAGGAUGAUCAGCCACACUGGGACUGAGACACGGCCCAGACUCCUACGGGAGGCAGCAGUGGGGAAUAUUGGACAAUGGGCGCAAGCCUGAUCCAGCAAUGCCGCGUGGGUGAAGAAGGUCUUCGGAUUGUAAAGCCCUUUCGGCGGGGACGAUGAUGACGGUACCCGCAGAAGAAGCCCCGGCUAACUUCGUGCCAGCCGCCGCGGUAAUUC
rnacentral:rRNA from 1 species